AUGGAGAAAUUUGUGAAAGAUGUGAAAGACUGGGCAGAUGGAGAAACAAACCACCAAGGCACGGCACAGGUCUUGUGUCAGAAGAUUGAGGCCCUCACAUCAAGUAUAAAAACAAGAUCUCAACACCUCUAC